rnacentral:tRNA from 1 species
AUUUAUAUAGCUUACAUUAGAGCAAUUUACUGAAGAUAAAGAAGACUAAAUC